rnacentral:rRNA from 1 species
UACGUAGGGUGCGAGCGUUGUCCGGAAUUACUGGGCGUAAAGAGCUCGUAGGUGGUUUGUCGCGUUGUUCGUGAAAACUCACAACUCAAUUGUGGGCGUGCGGGCGAUACGGGCAGACUAGAGGCAGGUAGGGGAGAAUGGAAUUCCCGGUGUAGCGGUGAAAUGCGCAGAUAUCGGGAGGAACACCGGUGGCGAAGGCGGUUCUCUGGGCCUGACCUGACGCUGAGGAGCGAAAGCGUGGGGAGCGAACAGG